UGACGGGGUGGGAGGUCUUGACGCCAUUCCCAGGAUUGGGCGCUGCGGUGGCCCCAACACGGGGUGGGGCCAACCUGAAGCAGUGUGACCUGCUGAUGCUGAAGUUUUCCCAGCGGCAGAAGCAGCUCUGCUGGAGGGACCCCUACCUGGCUGAGACCCUGCGGGACGCUGCACACCUGGGCCUGCUCCAGUUUCAGUCCCAUCCUGAGUUCCAUCCUGAGUUCCAGCUCCGUCGUGAGCGCUGGAACUGUAGCCUAGAGGGCAGGAUGGGCCCGCUCAGGAGAGGUGGGGAGGA
rnacentral:lncRNA from 1 species